rnacentral:rRNA from 1 species
GUAGUCCACGCCGUAAACGAUGGAUGUUAGUCGUUGGACCUUUAAGGAUCAGUGACACAGUUAACACGUUAAACAUCCCGCCUGGGAAGUACGGCCGCAAGGCUAAAACUCAAAGGAAUUGACGGGGACCCGCACAAGCGGUGGAGCAUGUGGUUUAAUUCGAUGCUACGCGAAAAACCUUACCACCUUUUGACAUCUCUAUCGCCGGAUAUGUAAUAGUAUCCUUCGGUUCGGCCGGAUAGAAGACAGGUGUUGCAUGGCUGUCGUCAGCUCGUGUCGUGAGAUGUUGGGUUAAGUCCCGCAACGAGCGCAACCCUCAUCUUUAGUUACCAGCGGGUAAUGCCGGGAACUCUAAAGAAACUGCUCGUGAUAAGCGAGA